rnacentral:rRNA from 1 species
CCUACGGGCGGCAGCAGUGGGGAAUAUUGCACAAUGGGGGAAACCCUGAUGCAGCGACGCCGCGUGAGCGAGGAAGUAUUUCGGUAUGUAAAGCUCUAUCAGCAGGGACGAAAAAAGACGGUACCUGACGAAGAAGCCCCGGCUAACUACGUGCCAGCAGCCGCGGUAAUACGUAGGGGGCAAGCGUUAUCCGGAUUUACUGGGUGUAAAGGGAGUGUAGACGGCAAGGCAAGCCAGAAGUGAAAGGGCAGGGCUCAACCCUGUACAUGCUUUUGGAACUGUGGUGCUAGAGUGCAGGAGAGUUAAGUGGAAUUCCUAGUGUAGCGGUGAAAUGCGUAGAUAUUAGGAGGAACACCAGUGGCGAAGGCGGCCUGCUGGACGACACCUGCCGGUGAGGCGCGAACGCGUGGGGAGCAAACAGGAUUAGAUACCCCUGUAGUC